CCUUCCGUAGUUCAGUCGCAGGUAAACGGCGGACGUUAAUCCGGGUAUGUCACUGGUUCGAGUCCAGUCAGAGGAGCCA
rnacentral:tRNA from 1 species